CACCAAUUUUAGAAAGUAACAGAGACACAGGGGCAGAAAAGACAAUCACUUAUGGAGGAAUCCUUCAAAGGUUUUAGCCCUAGAAGUUGAAGGGUACUCAGCAGGAGUACAUGGUCAGGCCUAAUAGAACAGUGGCCUGGUGCUUUCCACCGGUGCGGCACAGUAACAGCAAGGGCUUGACCACGUUGUCUGACUGGUCCUAGGUCUGUGGAAAGCGGUGUGCUGCCAUAUGUUCUUGUUGGCUCCGCUACCUAACAGACUGUCAAGAACUGAAGAGGUGAACUUUCUAGCCAGAAAACUACAGGGUACCUCUCUGGGAACAGUCCCGAAUCAACUGUACCUCUCUCUACAAGCCAGAACCUCCUGCAGAGGAAAUAUCUCAACUGCUGUCUUCAAAGCCUCCCCUGUGCUUUCAUCUGGAGUCUCAAAUUCCACACAUGCAGUCUUUGGAUCGAUGAGGAUGCAUCCUUUCUACAGGCAUGUCAAUCAUUUUAAUUUCCCAGCAUUUUGUUCCAUUGUUUUUGAUGAAGAAAUAGUUCUAUAUGAAAAGACAGUCUUGGGAAAGGUCAGAGGUAAAAGGCAGAGGGAAAUGAAAAUUCUGUCCAGAACGUUGGAAGCAUGCUGUAAUGUACAGUGAAGAAUCAGAGUGAAAAGAAGGAAAGGUUAGUUCAGUGAAGGCUAACCAAACUUGUCAAGCUGCCAUUUCAACCAUCUCAUGGAAUUGGUCAGAAAAAAUGGAUUCCUGGCUCUUCCUAUACUUCAAGUAGCUAAUAUGUGGAGUCACCUGUGGGAGAAGACCAAUCUGUGUGAUGAUGAACAGGGGCCAUCUGAUA
rnacentral:lncRNA from 1 species